AGCGGACGGGGAGCAGCCCAGAGUCAGCAUCAAUAUUUACCGCAGGAGAAGGGUCUGGAAAGGCCGGCAAUAAAGGGUGAUAGCCCCGUAUCUGAAGCGGGUAGUGUUGUGAACUCGAAGAGUAGGGCGGGACACGUGUUAUCCUGUCUGAUAUGGGGGGACCCCCUCCAGGCUAAAUACUCUUGACUGACCGAUAUUGAACCAGUACCGGAGGGAAAGGGAAAAAACCCCGGCGAGGGGAGGAAAAAACCUGAACCGGUACGUAAAGCGGGGAGCCCCGAAAGGGGUGACUGCCACCUUUUGUAAGGGGCACCACUUAAUUCUGAAAGGUUACCGCAAGGGGACCGAGGGACCCGAGUCUUACUGGGCGUUAGUUGUAGGGUAACCCCGAACCCGGUGAUCUACCAUGGGAGGUUGAAAGUUGGGUAACACUA
rnacentral:rRNA from 1 species